rnacentral:lncRNA from 13 species
AGCGAAUGACAUCAUUCAGGAGAUGGCGAGGGGAACACAGAAAUAGCCGCGCAGUUUGGUUCCCAGCCCCAGGCCGAUUCCGAUGAGACUCAGUGGUCACGGAGGCAAGGUCACACUCUCUACUCUUGGCAGGCUGCAGUGUGCGGAGCUUUUGCAGGUGCAGAGGAUUAUAUGCUGCUUUGGGAAAGGCAGAGAGGGAGGGAGGAUGGUAGAGGGCCAGGAAUAUAGAAAGUUUAACCAAGCCACAUUCCUGAAGAAUUCUACACCGGUUGCCUCGGUUGGCACAGUGUCUUUUACCUGCGUCAGAGGCCUGGAAAGACAGGAGACCGUUGGAAAAAAAGAGAAAGCACUUUUGAUUGAUCGGAUGUUUUUGCUGUAGAUAGAGGUAAAGUUAUUGGUCGAUUGACUCACUCUGUCAGUAAGUGCUGCACACAUAGAGGGCUAGGUUUCAGUGUUGUGCCUCAGCACAGAUGAGCAUCAGGGGAAUGGAAGAAAGGAGGAGAAGAGACGGGAGUCCAGGAGGGGGGAGAAGGCACUGGGGCCCAUGCAGCUGUCUGACAUCCUGAGCAAUGAGGCCUGAAGCGGUCUCAGGCAGAGAGAGAGAGAAACCGAGAGGGAGGGGGAACAAAAUAGUGAGGAAGAGAGAGGCGGAGAGUGUGAGAGAGUACAUGAGUAACAGAGAGGGAGAGAUGGAUACAGAGACAAAGAGAGAGAGAGACUAAGAGAGAAAGAGAGACAGUUGGGCCAUAACUCUUUAGUCUGCGUGACAGGCCAGACAAAAAGCAGAUUUGUAGGAGCUGAGGGCUGGGGCUGAGGACACUGCACCCUGAGGACCAUAGACAUGGCCACAAGCCACCCCACCUGGAGCAAACACACACUGGGGAAGAGAGGAGGGGUGGAAGGGCAGUUGGAGAGGAGAGAGAGAGGAAAGAUGGGGGGUGUAGUAGAGGGAGAGAAAUUGAGAGGUGAGGAGUAGAGAUGGAAGAAGAAAGGAGGUAGAAGAGAUGGGGGAGGAGAAAGAAAGCCAGGAUGACAGAGGGGGAGACGGUGUAAUCUCUGAGUCUGAGUUGAGUUGAAUUCCCCACACAACAGAGGACCAAGAGGGAUGCUCAGGUUUCACUCGACUUCCCCACAUCAUGCCUUAUAAAGUAUGUGAUCCAGUCAGCAUAGGAAAUAGUCACACUUCAUAUAUUACUCUACUUGUGCGGAAGGCUAAGAGACACAUAAUGGCACUGUCUCUCAUCUUCUAUGAACCGCCUGUUGAAUCGACACUUUCAUUGCCAGACCACAAAGCUGGAUUACUUAAUUGACUGAUUUUACUUAAUUGACUGAUUUUUAAACAGGGACAUAAUGGGCUACUGAAGAGCAGUGAGGGAGAGGAGCUGAUGCUUGGCCUUGCUUGUAAUGUCGAUCACAUCAUGUGAUUUUACACCAGUUCUAGAUCCCAAACCCAAAGCG